GAGCUGGUGGCGCAAUGGUAGCGCGUCUGACAUCAGAUCAGAAGGUUGCGUGUUCGAAUCACGUCCGGCUCA
rnacentral:tRNA from 1 species